rnacentral:rRNA from 1 species
CCUACGGGAGGCUGCAGUGGGGAAUAUUGCACAAUGGGGGAAACCCUGAUGCAGCAACGCCGCGUGAGUGAAGAAGUAUUUCGGUAUGUAAAGCUCUAUCAGUAGGGAAGAAGAAGACGGUAACUGAGUAAGAAUCCCCUGCUAACUACGUGCCAGAAGCCGCGGUAAUACGUAGGGGGCAAGCGGUGUCCGGAUUUACUGGGGGUAACGGGAGCGUAGACGGUGAGACAAGUCUGAAGUGAAAGCCCGUGGCUCAACCUCGGGAGGGAUUUGGAAACUGCCUGACUGGAGUGCUGAAGAGGCGAGCGGAAUGCCUAGUGUAGCGGUGAAAUGCGUAGAUAUUAGGAAGAACACCAGUGGCGAAGGCGGCUUGCUGGACAGUAACUGACGUUGAGGCUCGAAAGCGUGGGGAGCAAACAGGAUUAGAUACCCGUGUAGUC